rnacentral:rRNA from 1 species
CGGACGGGUGAGUAACACGUGGAUAACCUACCUAUAAGACUGGGAUAACUUCGGGAAACCGGAGCUAAUACCGGAUAAUAUAUUGAACCGCAUGGUUCAAUAGUGAAAGACGGUUUUGCUGUCACUUAUAGAUGGAUCCGCGCCGCAUUAGCUAGUUGGUAAGGUAACGGCUUACCAAGGCAACGAUGCGUAGCCGACCUGAGAGGGUGAUCGGCCACACUGGAACUGAGACACGGUCCAGACUGCUACGGGAGGCAGCAGAC